rnacentral:lncRNA from 1 species
AAAUCUGUAUUACCCUGCUCCUCAAUAGCUGCCUUGUCUGUGUGCACCUUGCGUGGAAAAGCAGAAAAGUGAUGGGGGAAAUGGACCUGAGUUUAGAGUCCCUGCUCCUUCAGAUUGUGGGUAACAUUUGCAUGACAAUGGGAUUAUCAGCUCUUCUGGAAACAGUGGUGAUAUCUGUAUGUCUACGUAAUGUCUAUAAAGCCUGCUGGGGACUUCCAAAGAAUGAAAAGCAAAAGUUUCCAAAGAAGACCAGGAUUUACCAAACAAGAUCACAGGAUGGCAUAGAGUUUCACCUUAAUUUAAAUUUUUAUUAUUAUAAUUCACGUGUAAGUGAGAUCAUAAAAUGUUUGUCUUUCUCUGCUGGCUUAUUUCACUUAGUGUAAUGCCCUCAAGGCCCAUCCAUGCUGUCACAGAUGGUAGAAUUUCCUUUUUCUCAUGGCUGAGUAGUAUUAAAGUUAUAUAUAGUCGCCACAUUUUUCUUAUCCAUUUAUUUGUUGAUGAACACUUUGGUUUUUUCCAUAUCUUGGCUAUUGUGAAUAAUGCUACAGUGAACAUGCGGUGGGUACAAAUAUCUCUUUGAGAUAGUGAUUUCAUUUCCUUGGGACAUAUGCUCAGAAGUGGGAUUACUGGAUUGUAUGGUAGUUCUAUUUUUAUUUUUUUUGUCUUUUUGCUAUUUCUUUGGGCCGCUCCCGCAGCAUAUGGAGGUUCCCAGGUUAGGGGUCGAAUUGGAGCUGUAACCACUGGCCUACGCCAGAGCCACAGCAACGGGGGAUCCGAGCCUCGUCUGCAACCUACACCACAGCUCACAGCAACGCCGGAUCGUUAACCCACUGAGCAAGGGCAGGGACCGAACCCGCAACCUCAUGGUUCCUAGUCGGAUUCGUUAACCACUGCGCGACGAUGGGAACUCCUAUUUUUAAUUUUUUGAGAAAGAACUCCCCAUACUGUUUUCCAUAAGGGCUGUAUCAAUCUACAUUUCCACCCACAGGGCACGAGGGUUCCUUUUUCUUCUCAUGCUCACCAACACUUGUUAUUUGUUGACUUUUUGAUGGUAGUUGCUCUAAACAUGUUUCAGGUGAUAGGUCAUUGUGGUUUUGAUUUGUGUUUCCCUGAUGACUAGUAAGGUUAAUCAUCUUUUCAUAUAUCUGUCGGCCACUGGAAUAUCUUCUUUGUAAAACUGUCUAUUCAGUUCCUCUGCCCAUUUUAAAAUCAGAUUGUUGUUAUUUGUUUUGCUGUUGAGUUGUAUGGGUUCCUUAUGUGCUUUAAAUAUUAAUCCCUUAUCAGAUCUAUGAUUUGCAAAUAUUUUAUCAUCUUCCAUAGGUUGCCCUUUCAUUUUGUUGGUGGUUUUCUUUACUGUGCAAAAGUAAGGACUUUGGAUUUUGAAGUAAAGUCUCUGGAUUUUGAUCUCAGUGAAAUGAGGAGUCAUUGCAGAUUUCUGAGGAAAGAGACAGGAUGAUUCACAUUUUAACAGGAUCUCUCUGGUUUCAGUGAAUAGACUGUGGGGACAAGAGUAGCAGUUUUUUCCUGCAGGAAAUACCCACUUCACGGCAGUAAUCCAGUUGAAAGAGAAGGGGAUUAGAUUAAGGCGGUCACAUGAGGACAGGUGGGAAGUGGUUGAAAUAUGAAUAUAUAUUUGAAGCCUACAAUAUAUAAUAAUAGAUGUGGGGUAUGAAAGAAAGACAGAAAUCAAGGCUGACUCCAAGGCUUGGGGCCUGAACAGCUGGAAGGAUGGGUUUCCCCAUUUUCUCAACUGUAAGUUGGUGAUGCUGCUGCUGCAUCAAGUAAUGAUCAAAUGAAUCAAAUAAUGAUCAGAUGAUCAAAUGAUAAUCAAAUGGAUUAUUGAGAGACUUUGAGUGGACUCAUUAACUAGUGAUGCCAUUUUAGAUUCCUUGGACAGAAGGUACCUCUUCAGGAAUUGUGACUCUCAACUGUUCACCUAGACAUAGAUGCAUUUCCCUAUCAUAUUGUGGAGUUUUUUUUUUUUUUUAAAGAUUUGAAGCUUCUUAAAUGUUCCUAUCUUAAUACAUAGAUAGUAUUUGUAGAUUACUAUAUGUCAUGCACUUAGCUAAGCCUGUCACAUACAUUUCAUUUAAUCCUUAAAGCAAGCCUGUGAAAAAGACCCUAAUUAUUCUUACUUUGUAGAUAAGAAAACUGAAGUUCAGUGAGACUAAAAGGAAUAUUGCCCAUAAUCACUCAGUUCAUAUGUGGUAGAACCACAGUUUAAACCAAGGUGUAUCUAAUUCUAAAGUUUUCUCUUAACUCUUGACACUCUACUGCCUCCUUUUUCCCCCUCAAAAACCACUUCCCUUUUUUAUUGCUCAAAAACCACAAGUCUCUCUCUCAUUGAUCAGGGUUCCAUCACCUCUUUAUAGUGAAAAAUUCUUUUAAAUCUUCUCUAUAGCCUCAAGAUCUUGAAAUAUAAAGGUGAUGGAGGUCUUUUUAUCUUUAAUAGGAGUUACAAAAUUUUUUCCAACUGGUUGUUUAUCUUGAUUUUAUGGUAUUUUUUCAUGAAAAAAUUUAUUUUAAAAAAUCACCUUGUAGAUCUUUUUUUCUUCUUCUUCCUCUUUGGUUUUUAGGGCCGCACUAGUGGCAUAUGGAAGUUCCUAGGCUAGGGGUUGAAUUGUAGCUUUAGCUUCUGGCCUGCAUCACUGCCACAGCAGUGCCCAGAUCCAAGCUGCGUCUGUGACCUACACUACAACUCACAGCAACAUCGAAUCUUUAACCCUGUGUGGAAGGUCGGGGAUCGAAGCCGCAUCCUCACAGAUACCAGACAGAUUUGUUUCCACUGUGCCCCAAUGGUAACUCCUGUAGAUCCUUUUCUGUAGGGGUGGGGGCGUAAUGUCAUAUUUAGAAAGCUGUCUGAAUGAUAAGAGUAUGAACUAUUUUCUGGACUUCACAUUGUGGCUCAGGAGUAACGAGCCCCCAGCUAGUAUCCAUGAGAAUUUGGGUUCGAUCCCCGGCCUCACUCAGUGGGUUAAGGAUCCAGUGUUGCUGUGAGCUGUGGCACAGGCCGGCAGCUGCAGCUCCGAUGCAGCUCCUAGCCUGGGAACUUCCAUAUGCCGC